GACGAACGCUGGCGGCGUGCCUAAUACAUGCGAGUAGAACGCUGAAGGAGGAGCUUGCUUCUCUGGAUGAGUUGCGAACGGGUGAGUAACGCGUAGGUAACCUGCCUGGUAGCGGGGGAUAACUAUUGGAAACGAUAGCUAAUACCGCAUAAGAGUAGAUGUUGCAUGACAUUUGCUUAAAAGGUGCAAUUGCAUCACUACCAGAUGGACCUGCGUUGUAUUAGCUAGUUGGUGGGGUAACGGCUUACCAAGGCGACGAUACAUAGCCGACCUGAGAGGGUGAUCGGCCACACUGGGACUGAGACACGGCCCAGACUCCUACGGGAGGCAGCAGUAGGGAAUCUUCGGCAAUGGACGGAAGUCUGACCGAGCAACGCCGCGUGAGUGAAGAAGGGUUUCGGAUCGUAAAGCUCUGUUGUAAGAGAAGAACGAGUGUGAGAGUGGAAAGUUCACACUGUGACGGUAUCUUACCAGAAAGGGACGGCUAACUACGUG
rnacentral:rRNA from 1 species